GCGGGUGUAGUUCAACGGUAGAACCUCAGCCUUCCAAGCUGAUGAUGGCGGUUCGAGUCCGCUCACCCGCUCCA
rnacentral:tRNA from 2 species